UUGGGCAUUGUUUGAUAUUUCUCAUUACAACACUCAUUGUUUGAUGUCGUAGGUGGAAGAAAGGGUGAAAGUGGCAAAGGUGGCCACGCACACGUGUGUGGUGGCGGUAGUGGCAGCAUCAAGAUGACAGAGGUCAUGCUUGAUGCCUAGCAAAUUAGCUAAGGCAAAUGAUCAUGAAGUAGAUGUCAAGGAGGCAAAGAGUU
rnacentral:lncRNA from 1 species